AAUCAACGCUGGCGGCGUGCCUAACACAUGCAAGUCGAACGCGAAAGCCCCGCAAGGGGUAAGUAGAGUGGCAAACGGGUGAGUAACACGUGGGUGACCUGCCUUUGAGUGGGGGAUAACGUCCCGAAAGGGACGCUAAUACCGCAUGACAUCCUGCCUUUAGACAGGCGGAGAUCAAAGCCGGGGAUCGCAAGACCUGGCGCUUGAAGAGGGGCCCGCGCCUGAUUAGCUAGUUGGUGAGGUAACGGCUCACCAAGGCGACGAUCAGUAGCCGGCCUGAGAGGGCGGACGGCCACACUGGGACUGAGACACGGCCCAGACUCCUACGGGAGGCAGCAGUGGGGAAUUUUGGACAAUGGACGCAAGUCUGAUCCAGCCAUUCCGCGUGCAGGACGAAGGCCUUCGGGUUGUAAACUGCUUUUGUACGGAACGAAAAAGCUCUUACUAAUACUAGGAGUCCAUGACGGUACCGUAAGAAUAAGCACCGGCUAACUACGUGCCAGCCGCCGCGGUAAAAC
rnacentral:rRNA from 1 species